GGAGGAAAGUAGGGGAUCGCAAGACCUUGCGCUUUUGGAGCGGCCGAUGCCUGAUUAGCUAGUUGGUGAGGUAAACGCUUACCAAGGCUUCGAUCAGUAGCUGGUCUGAGAGGACGACCAGCCACACUGGGACUGAGACACGGCCCAGACUCCUACGGGAGGCAGCAGUGGGGAAUUUUGGACAAUGGGGGAAACCCUGAUCCAGCCAUGCCGCGUGAGUGAAGAAGGCCUUCGGGUUGUAAAGCUCUUUCAGCCGGAACGAAACGGUCACGGCUAAUACCUGUGAUCACUGACGGUACCGGAAGAAGAAGCACCGGCUAACUACGUGCCAGCAGCCGCGGUAAUACGUAGGGUGCAAGCGUUAAUCGGAAUUACUGGGCGUAAAGCGUGCGCAGGCGGUUUUGUAAGUCAGAUGUGAAAUCCCCGGGCUUAACCUGGGAACUGCGUUUGAAACUACAAAGCUAG
rnacentral:rRNA from 1 species